rnacentral:RNase_P_RNA from 1 species
UAAGUAGAAUGGAUAAUCGCCCAUCCUCUAGAGGUUGGAAGGAAAGUCCGGACUCCAUGGAGAAAUAGUAAUGGCUAACGGCCAUGGGGAGUGAUCCUACGGAAAGUGCAACAGAAAAUAAACCGCCCCCAUCGGGGUAAGGGUGAAAAAGCGAGGUAAGAGCUCACUACGCACACAGUGAUGCGAUGCGUUGGCAAACCCUACUAGGAGCAAUAUCAAAUUUGGCGCAAUUACAGGUGUUUCUUCACACCAGACGCCGUGGUAGAUAGCUUGAGAUUACGAGUAAUUGUAAUCCUAGAUUGAUGAUUAUCAUAUACAGAAUCCGGCUUAUAUUCUACUUACUGG